GUGAAAAAUAACUCAUUAAACAGCGUGAAAAGUUGAAAUACAUUGAAUUUAAGUUGACAGUCGCGAUGUCGACAUCAGUUUUACGAUAAAAGAUGGAGGAGAAUCCAGACAGCGACAGGCAUUAUGAGAGGACCGCUGAUGACCCCUCACCAUCAGGCCAAGGGACCAAAGAGCAAAGUGAGGAGUCCCCCCUGGGUGAUCGCGACCUACCCAUCAUGCAAUGGGAAGAUUUAAGUUUGCGGAUUGCAGAGCUAGAAAGGCAGGAAGAGGAAAGAAGGAAAAAAGCAGAGAGUCUAGGUUUAUCAGCGCGAGACCGAAUACUUGGAUGCUGGACAGAAUCUAAACACCAUUCACUCCAUCGGGAACCAUGGGCGGAUGAGAACGACUACAGUCCCUGCCGUGUCCCUGUCAUAACAUCACGGUUUAAUAGUCCUAAAAACCUUCAGCUGUGUUUCAUCAACAACAGUGAGAGUGAGGAGGAGGAUGACGAAGGAGCGUCUAGCAAAGAGAGCUCAUGUGAGGCAGAGGUACGUGGGAGUUGCUCUCGGGGACUAAAACAGGAAGUAAAAGCAGCACUCAGGACUCUCAGAGACAAGAUAUGGGCCGAACAGAAGGAGAAAGAGCAAGCCACCCACAGUAGCAUGAACAUUAGGAGAAAGAUUCUUAGCCUUAGUGAUCUGCAGACAUGCUCUUUACUGCAGCUGAAUGCGCUCAGGGCCUCGCUGAAUGAGGACAUUCAAGAUUUGAGCUCAGAACUGGUGAAACAUCUCGUAGUACGGGACCACCUUCGGACCAAGCAAGAUGCUUUGCUCCUGGAUGUACAGGAUAUGACAUCAUUAUGAUCGAUCUUUUUGUUUGGAACACUGCGUAACUGCAGUUUAACGUUGGCACUUUCUGAAAGCGGUAAUUUACUGUUACUCAUCCUGUGGACUAACAAAGGCCAGAAUAUCCUGUUUAUUCUUGAAGAAAUGUAGCCCUCUCAGAAACUUUUGUUAAAAUGUGAGUCACAUUUAUUAUAGUCACAAGUUUUAUUGUGGAAAAAAGUGCCUUAUAACAAACUCUAAUGGCUCUGAUUCAUAUGUCACUUACAAUUUAAUUUUACUUCCAUAAAUAGAGAAUAUAUUAAGCUGCUGUCAAAGCCAUAUGUGAUCAAUAACUGUGAUGUAUUAAUCAUCAGUUACUUUAAGCAUUCCAUUGAAAUACAGUAUAUGUAAUCGCCAUGAAAAUAUAAACGUGUGCAUUUUGCAGUCAUAUGAAUGUGCCUUAUAACUUUCCUGUGUAUCAAACUUAUACAUGAGAAUGAAGUAUCUCAUUGCAAAAUAUUGACAGUAAUUUAAUAAAUCAAUUAUUUUAUACA
ensembl:lncRNA